rnacentral:tRNA from 1 species
CAAAGAGUAGUUUAAUUUAGAAUACUAGCUUUGGGAGUUAGUGGUCGGGGUUAAAAUCCCCUCUCUUUGA